rnacentral:rRNA from 1 species
AAUCUUCCGCAAUGGGCGAAAGCCUGACGGAGCGACGCCGCGUGCAGGAUGAAGGCCUUCGGGUCGUAAACUGCUUUUAUUAGGGAAAAAUUUCUGAUUGUACCUAAUGAAUAAGGGACUGCUAACUUCGUGCCAGCAGCAGCGGUAAUACGAAGGUCCCAAGCGUUGUCCGGUGUUAUUAGGCGUAAAGCGUCCGCAGGUUGCUCAGCGCAUCUUUGGUCAAAUCUAUGGGCUCAACCCAUAAACUGCCAAAGAGAUGGCUGAGCUAGAGGCAGGGAGAGGCACGUGGAAUGGCUGGUGUAGGAGUAAUAUCCGUUAAUCUCAGCCAGAACACCAAAAGCGAAGGCAGCGUGCUGGAACUGUCCUGACACUCAGGGACGAAAGCGUGGGUAGCGAAUGGGAUUAGAUACCCCAGUAGUCCACGCCGUAAACGAUGGGUACUAGGCAUUGAGAGCUCGACCCUCCCAGUGCCGCUUCUAAAAAAGCUAACGCGUUAAGUACCCCGCCUGGGGAGUACGGCCGCAAGGCUAAAACUCAAAGGAAUUGACGGGAAUUCGCACAAGUGGUGGAGCGUGUGGUUCAAUUCGACAUUAAGCGAGGAACCUCACCAAGGCUUGACAUCUUGGGAAUCUUUAAGAAAUUAGAGAGUGCCUUCGGGAACCCAAUGACAGGUGUUGCAUGGUUGUCGUCAGCUCGUGUCGUGAGACGUUCGGUUAAGUCCGUUAACGAGCGCAACCCUUAUGCUGUGUUACAAAGUGUCACAGCAAACUGCCCUGGAUAACAGGGAGGAAGGUAGGGACGACGUCAAAUCAGCAUGACCCUUACGCCUUGGGCUACACACGCGCUACAAUGGCCAGUACAAAGGGACGCGAAGCGGUAACGUGGAGCAAAUCCCUAAAACUGGUCCCAGUUCGGAUAGAGGUCUGCAAUUCGACCUCUUGAAGCCGGAAUCACUAGUAACCGUAUAUCAGCCACGGUACGGUGAAUACGUUCUCGAAUUUUGUACACACCGCCCGUCAAAUCAAGGGAGUCGGGGGUACCUUAAGGCCGACAUUGGUCGGUCCAAGGUAAAACCGAUGACAGGGAUUAAGUCGUAACAAGGCAUCCGUAGCGGAAGCUGUGGAUG